rnacentral:rRNA from 1 species
GACGAACGCUGGCGGCGUGCUUAACACAUGCAAGUCGAACGAAGUGGCGAACGGGUGAGUAACGCGUAAGCAACCUGCCCUUCAGAGGGGGACAACAGGAGGAAACGAAUGCUAAUAACGCAUAAUGAAGGAGGGGAGUGAGUCUGAGUAGCUAGUUGGAGGGGUAAAGGCCCACCAAGGCGACGAGCAGUGGAGGGUCUGAGAGGAUGAUCCGCCACACUGGGACUGAGACACGGCCCAGACUCCUACGGGAGGCAGCAGUGGGGAAUUUUGGACAAUGGGCGCAAGCCUGAUCCAGCCAUGCCGCGUGUCUGAAGAAGGCCUUCGGGUUGUAAAGGACUUUUGUCAGGGAAGCGGUACCUGAAGAAUAAGCACCGGCUAACUACGUGCCAGCCGCCGCGGUAAUUC